AUUGAACGCUCGCGGCAGGCUUAACACAUGCAAGUCGAACGAGUGGCGGACGGGUGAGUAAUGACUUGGAAACUGCUCGCUGGUGGGGGAUAACCACCGGAAACGGUAGCUAAUAACGCCUUCCAUCUGAUGUCUCCAGAUGGGAUUAUGUAGUCUGUGGGGUAACGGCUCACCUAGGCGACGAUCCCUAGCUGGUCUGUGAGUAUGACCAGCAACACGGAAACUGAGACACGGUCCAGAGUCAUACGGGAGGCAGCAGUGGGGAAUAUUGAACAAUGGGCGCAAGCCUGAUGCAGCCAUGCCGCGUGUAUGAAGAAGGCCGUCGGGUUGUAAAGUACUUUCAGCGAGGAGGCGUUACUCGCAGAAGAAGCAGCGGCUAACUCCGUGCCAGCAGCCGCGGUAAUAC
rnacentral:rRNA from 1 species